rnacentral:misc_RNA from 1 species
CUUUAUCUGGAUAUAAAUAUAUAAGGUAAAUUCUGUAGAGUGGGGGACACCCCCCAUGUGGAAUAAUCUAUUGUGCUUCUCUUCUUUCCACUUGAUGUCAAAAGCAUCUUGUCUGACUAGGUCACAGCCGAAAGCAACCAGGCCCAUUGUAUAGAGAGAGGAUUGGUGAUCAAUGGUCAUACUCAUACUACUGCUGAUAAGGUUGAUACUUUUAAGAAGAUGAUGAAAGGGGAUAAAAUAGCCUUAACAGAGAUAUGGCUGCUUUCAAUUUAUGCCAUAUUGCUUUAGGUGUUGUUUUGGUGUAUUUGGCAAAACAAAGGGUUGAAUCAGUGUGAUAUAUCAGCUUCUUCUCUAGUAAGAUCAGUAUUUCCUUUCAUUGAUUCUCAUGGAUCAAGUCAUUUAGCAGGAGUUGAAGAUGUCGAAGCUGCUACAAAAUCAAUUGUUUAUUAAGGAAUCAAAGAUAUUUUAGAACUUUUUUGUUUUGUGGGUCAAGACAGAAUCAAGGAAAUAAAGAAAAUUUGCAAAUAACAUUCAUCACGUAACACUUGUCCACAACUUUUGGAACACAUCAUGCAGAUUUUCUGGGCAGAAGAUAGAAAGUAGUAUGCUGAUUCUUAACUUUUUUUUUUUCUACUACCCUCCAAGUGUUACUUUCAUUCCUCAGCAAACGUAUUUUCUGAUGGUAAAGCAUGAGAAAGAUUAAAUUGUAUGAAACUAAAGAGAACUUUGUUAGAGCAACUUUCUGCAUAUGGCUGAUAUCACUUGCUGCAUUUCAUGUUUGUUAGUGUACACCUGUAAACUACUUAAUAUAAAAUGCAACAAGAAAAGGAAAUUCACAGAUAGCAACUACGUGUGGUUCUGGAAAGGAAAAUAAUAUUUUUCACGAAUUCAUGUGAAAAAGGAAUCACCUUAUCUUUAGGAUUUGUAGGAUCCAAAUGAGUUUUACAAUUGAACUUGUGAAUCCAAUUGUUGGUAACCAAAGUCCAUUCUAUGCGCCUGUAACGUAAGUUAGUCUCCAUAACAUUCAUGGCAGAUUAAAAUUACUGGUAGGCAGAGACCCAGAGUGUGUGUAACUGUAAAAUAAGUUAGUAUCCAUUUACAGUCAUGCCCAUGUAUGCCCGAGAUCACAAAACUGUAAAAUGAGCAUAAUUAUCCACACUAAGCCCUAGAUAUGUAAAAGAAACAAGCUGUUUUCUUUUCUUAAUUGCCAACUCUCUUCUCUUCUUUUCAUUCACAUGACUCAACAAGCAAGUCGCUGAAGAAAGGAUCAAAAAUAGCUUCUUUAGCUGAAUUGUACUUGUCCAAGCGCUUCUUCAAAGAGCGCAACUCUCUUUCAUUUUUAGAGGAACGCUCAAAUGAUUUCUUCAGAAGCAAUAUAUCCACCAAGUACAGCAGCCAUAACACAUUUGUUCUAGGAAAACUUCCUUCCCAGAAAUCUUCAGUUACCUCCCUCAUCUUUCUAUAUGUUUCA